GCUGGAGUGCAGUGGGGCGAUCUCGGCUCACCACAGCCUCAACCUCCCAGGCUCAAGCGAUUCUCCCAACUCAGCCUCCCGAGUAGCUGGGACUACAGGCGCAUGCCUCCACGCCUGGCUACUUUUUGUAUGUUUUGCAGACACAGGAUUUUGCCAUGUUGCCCAGGCUGGUCUCGAACUAGGCUCAAGUGAUCCACCUGCCUUGGCCUCCCAAAGUGUUGGGAUUACAGGCCUAAGCCACCAUGCCUGGUCAAAUCCAGGCUUUUCUGACUCCCUCUUAGUCAAGAUGCCCCCAGGCCCACGUAAGACAAGACCCCUCAUCAGCUCGCUGGGCCCCAUCCAGCUGCCUGGUCCCCAGCUCUCACUGCGAACCUUCAGCCUCUCAUUCUCCAGCUUGAAUGCGGAAUACUCAGCAGUCUGACGGUGUAGUCUCUCCACCAGGCUAUCCCGGUCUUCCCGCAUCUUCUCCUCCAGGGUUUGUUGUUGGUUUACAAGAUCUGUUACCCGGCUGGAAGAUCACAAAGUGAAAGCAGACAGAGAGAAUCAAUUACACAGAGAGGAAGUCUCGCUCUUGUCCCCCAGGCUGGAGUGCGAUGGCACGAUCUCGGCUCACUGCAACCUCUGCCUCCCAGGUUCAAGCGAUUCUCCUGCCUCAGCCUCCCGAGUAGCUGGGAUUACAGAUAACUGCCACCACGCCCGGCUAAUUUUUGUAUUUUUAGCAGAGACAGGGUUUCACCAUGUUAGCCAGGCUGGUCUCAAACUCCUGACCUCAGGUGAUCUGCCCGCCUUGGCCUCCCAAAGUGCUGGGAUUACAGGCGUGAGCCACCAUGCCCAGCUGUUACUUGAUUUUUAAAAACAGCUUUAUUGAGAUAUAAAUUUGAACACCAUUUAAAGUGUACAGCAUGGUGACUAUAAUUAAUGAUGUAUUAUAUACUUGAAAUCUGCUAGGAGAUCUUAAGUGUUGUCACCACACACACACAAAAAGGUAACCAUGUGACGUGAUGGAUGUGUUAAUCAGCUUGAUUGAGGUGGUCACUUUACAAUGUAUAUGGGUAUCAAAUCAUCACGAUGAACAUCUUAAAAUGUAUACUACUUCUGUUUGUCAAAUAUACCUCAAUAAAGCUAGAAGAAAAAAUAAAGUAUACAAUUAAAUGGCUUU